CAGAGCCGUCACGUGAUAGUAGCUGAUCAUGGACGAUAAAAAAAAAUCCCAAGACAAAAGUUUAGAUCACUCGGUCUUGACCCACUGUAUUUACGCCGAUUGCUUGGGCAAUCAUUUCGUUGAUCCCCUUGAUUAUUUUGUGAGUGAAUAUGACUUUCAUCUCUUUGUGGACUUCACGUGAAUAUUUAGCCAAAUGGACACUAGGACAUUUCUUUCAUGUUGCCUUGACAUGCUGGAUGGAAGUGCAAAAUCUCCCUUGGCCAUAUACGUAUCAUUGGGAUCUACCUCUUUUUGUCUGAGACAACUACUGUAUGCUUAAAGUAUUCUUUUCUAAGGUGUGCUAAACCAUCAAGUAAUGUUAUUCUUUGUCUACCCCAAGGAUAUUGUAAAAUAAGAUUUUCAAUCAUAAUCAAGUCUAGUCACACCAUGGAUAUUUUUGGCAUGAUUUACGGUCAAGCCAUGGUUUCCAGGAAGUUCUGGCCAUUCUGUCCGAAAGUGUUACAUUCCUGACAUGUCCAGCUGUCUUAGAAGCAAUGUGAACAAAGCCAAAAUCAUAUCCCCAGGUAGUGUUUGUAGGUUCAAACCUUGGUGUCAGGAUGUAAACUUUGAUGUCGGGGAGACGUGGAGUAGGUCCUUGGUUCCAUUCUCUUCCCUGAUCUUACGCCAAAAGAAGACGGGGGUUUGAACCUUCAACACUUAGGGAGAAGAUUUUUGACUUGUUUGCGCUGCCUCUUAGAAUGCUAGGCUACACUAGUUCCUUUUGCUGAUCUGUCUUUGCAAGCUGAAGGAAAUUUGUUUUGAAAACGCUCAUUUCAAAAUAUAUAGGAUAUACUAUAAUACUUCCAAAUGUUAGUUUCUUUUUCAAGGAAUUAGUACAUUUAAAGUCAAGUUAAGAACAUUGUAAUGCCGUAGUCGCUCAAUUGAACAAAGAUUUGACUUAUAAACUGAUUUUUAGUUAUCGGAUAUUUCGAAAAUUUAUUUCUAAAAUCAUUUUUUGAAUGGGGCACCCCAGCAUGGUUUCGUGAGUGCAUAUAUUGAGAUGCGAUUUGUACCCAGUUGCACCUACUGAGAGUAUCAGAUAGUUUCGUGAACGCACAUUUUGAAAUGCGACUGGGUAAAAUUUAGUACUAUCGCAUUUCAAAAUUUGCGUUCACAAAACCACGUGGGGGUACCCCAUUGGAUUCGUUUUGGGAAAAAAUUGAAACAAUUUUGCCCAUCCAGAUUUACUUACUUUCGGAUUGUCUGCUGAUUGUUACUCUUUCCCCCUGGAGCAUGAAAAUAGCAAAUAUGGGAUGUUAUUUCUUUCUAGCAUGUUUUGUGGCAUAUUCUGGUUUGAAUCUGGCAUGCUUGGAGCCCAGAGACAUGGCAGCACUGUUCUCAAGUGCUCUUGAGUUAAAUUAUAAGGCAUUAACAACUAGUACUAAUACUUCUUCUUCUUUAACAUUUUUGUGAGACAUCUCUAAAGCAAUUUUAAGGCCUUCUUGCGGAUUUUCUUAAUACUGCUGGGAAUGGGGUCCCCAGGAGAUCUAGAAGAAAAAUAUAUUGAUCUUAUUUAGCUUUAAAUUGAUUUAAUAUCUAUUCCACCAAUGAAUUAGAGUUGUUGGAAAUGACUCACCCUUGAAUGUAGUGUUAAUGAGGAAUUUUGGAAUUUUGUCCAAGUCUGACAACAGACUGCCACAGGAUCUAAGUGUGGAAUUUUGAGUAAAACAUAGUGCCGCAACCAUGAUAUUGAGCAUUUUGAGGAAGAAAAACAUUGCAGCCAAGUUGUACCGGACAUAGGCGGAAUUGGUCAUUUGAUUCAGUUUCCCAGCUUGUUGAAGCAAAUUCUUAUAUUGAACCAAGAGUUUAGCACAGUCACAGAACUGCACAAAAAAUGUCAUAUUUUUGAGUUUUGUAGCACAACUCACUCAAUAGUUGAAAAUUCAAUUGUAUUCAAGAGUUAGUGCAAGCACAGAUUGGUUUAAAUGUUUGUCUUAUUUCUCCCUCCUCAAAAUGCUGGAAAUCAUUGUGUUGCCGCACUACCCUCUUCUUGAAUUUCGUUUGCUUCAAAUGCCCUAUUCAAUUAAAACGCACGUUUAGCCUCUGCGGUCACUACAAUUGGCCCUAAAACCUGGGUUGAGACAAAACUCACGGAUGCAAAUGAAAACGUACCAUAUCAGAUACCUUUCGUACCUUCUUUGAAUACUGUACAUACAGUCCUGAUGUCUUUAAUCUAUCCCAAUACUUUGAUUCCCUUAAUGUUCCUGGUAAAACGUCUUUGGACCUGCUCGACUUUUUGCAAACCUGAUUGGAGCCCAAACAAGGGAAGCAUAUUCAAGAUACAGCUGAACAACCGACUUGUUUCGAGUUGGCAUUUGUUAUGUUCCUAAGUACACACCCCUAAUCCAAUAUACAUGGAGGGUUGUAUCUUCACGUCCAUUCAAUUCAAGAUCAAGAUUAGGAGAGAAAAAGGCAGAGACAGAGAGAGAGAGAGAAAGAGAGAAAGAGAGAGCAGGACAGCUGCAUAUGCGCAUGUGCAUGCAAUACUAGUCCACACCAGCAUUGUGAAACUAUCGAUAGAUCCAACCACACGUUAGAAAAGCUUGAGCCACCCUUUUAACUGAAAAUGAUCAUUGAAUUCUCCAUUAUUUUGGAGGACUACGUCUAAAUCCUUUACAGGCGAGACCCGCUCAAUAUCUUUAACUUCGCCAUAUACUAGUGGAAAUUUAGUGACUUCAACUCAAAGGACAACGCCAUUGAACUUUUCAUUGAUAAAUGAUGAACGAGCUUCUUUUUUUUUGCUAUUUUUAUGAUGGUCUAAUUUUAGCAUUUCUUUCCGAGCCCUGGUUACAUGGAGCCCUGAUCACUUGGCGUGAACCUUUUCUAACCUCAAGCACUUAUAUUCCCGUGGGAUGUUGAAGCGCGCUUUCCUGGCUGGCACUUAGAACCAGCGACCUCGGUUACGUUCAAGAGCCAGUUCGAUUGAUCGACGAAACAACCUUCAUCAUCUUCGCCAUCUGAAAGAGCGCACAAAGUGCGGCUUAUUCCAUGGAGGAAAAGGAUAUAUACGCGUACAUGCAUUACAUACAGUAUAAACUAGCACACUCUAUGACGGUAA